AACGAACGCUGGCGGCAUGCCUAACACAUGCAAGUCGAACGAGACCUUCGGGUCUAGUGGCGCACGGGUGCGUAACGCGUGGGAACCUGCCCUUAGGUUCGGAAUAACUCCCCGAAAGGGGUGCUAAUACCGGAUAAGGUCUUCGGACCAAAGAUUUAUCGCCUUUGGCUGGGCCCGCGUUGGAUUAGCUAGUUGGUAGGGUAAAAGCCUACCAAGGCGACGAUCCAUAGCUGGUCUGAGAGGAUGAUCAGCCACACUGGGACUGAGACACGGCCCAGACUCCUACGGGAGGCAGCAGUGGGGAAUAUUGGACAAUGGGCGAAAGCCUGAUCCAGCAAUGCCGCGUGAGUGAUGAAGGCCUUAGGGUUGUAAAGCUCUUUUACCCGGGAUGAUAAUGACAGUACCGGGAGAAUAAGCUCCGGCUAACUCCGUG
rnacentral:rRNA from 1 species